UACGGAGGGGGCUAGCGUUGUUCGGAUUUACUGGGCGUAAAGCGCACGUAGGCGGCGUAUCAAGUCAGAGGUGAAAGGCCUGGGCUCAACCUAGGAACGGCCUUUGAUACUGGUAUGCUUGAGUUCGGAAGAGGGUAGUGGAAUUCCAAGUGUAGAGGUGAAAUUCGUAGAUAUUGGGAAGAACACCAGUGGCGAAGGCGGCACACUGGACCAAUACUGACACUGAGGUGCGAAAGCGUGGGGAGCAAACAGGAUUAGAUACCCGGGUAGUCC
rnacentral:rRNA from 1 species